GGGAGUUGGUCCUUUAAGUUGGCUUAAAAUAUCAUGAGGCUACAUUUCAUCAUUACAAGAAAAAUAAAAACAAAUGGUGCUUUUCAUUCUCUUUACUUGUCCCGAAAUCCUGAUCAUUCAUGAUAUAAAUAUUUUCAAUUCUAGUUUUAAUCUCUGUUUUUUAUUGUUUUGAAUUUUUUAGUUCUCAAUUCUGGUUUUUAUGUCUUUUCUUUGAUAAAAGAUUUUUAGGGGGUAUGCUAAGCAGGCUAACAAUAUAUCUUCGAAAUUUAUUCUAUUUACUCAUCCAUUUUAGGUUCUCUUAUAAAGCCAAACUUGCAGUAGUCUACCAUUUCACCAUUCCUUGUCCUUACAAAGCUUCUUGGGAAGUUUAUU
rnacentral:misc_RNA from 1 species